UAGAAGAGUGGUCAACUUGCUUAGGAGAGGGAGUUUCCUUACCAAGAGUUCCCCCACUGAUAUCUCUAGACCAAAAGCGGCAAUAAGGACCACUCUGCUAGACCUUUCAGUACCAACGUUCAGUCAUCAGUAUGUUUGUGUACAAUAACUCCUAUAGAAGUGCUUGCCAGUGUAACAUUAUUUCUAAAGAGCAAGGGUCAUAGACAAGACUCCAACAAAGAGCAGGAUAAGAAUUAGCAUGCCGGCAGAAGAGGUAGAUCAUUUAGCCCUGGGAGCUGAGGGAGAAAAACAAGGUCUCUGGCACUUGGAAUUGGCCUCUCAGAGACAUGAGCUAGUCCAGAGGUCUCUCUGCCUUUGUGGAGGGGAACCAAGAAGUUGGGAAGGAAGGAAGUCAUCUAAGAUCAAUCAGGAAAUAAUGACAUCAGGAGAUAAAUACCAACGGUCUCCUAGCCGCAAGUGAGACUGAGCAUUUUCUGUUUCCUUAACAACUUUGAAACUGCUGUCACUCACACUUCCUCCUGGUCCUUUUCCUGCCUCCCUGCUGAGAUAACUGGCCCAAUUACUUGUAUCUCUGUGAAUAGAGAGCCAGGGGGUGAGGUGGGGGAUGUCAAGUUAAUAUAACAAAAAUUCGAAUUCUACCUAAACUUAUUUCUUUAAUCAGCCGCACGUCAAUCAAACUACCAAAGGAAUACUUUAUAGA